GCAUGCCCUUCGGGGUGAUGGGGACUCACAGGAGACCGCCGGGGUCAACUCGGAGGAAGGUGGGGACGACGUCAAGUCAUCAUGCCCCUUAUGUCUUGGGCUGCACACGUGCUACAAUGGCAGGUACAAUGAGCUGCGAUACCGUGAGGUGGAGCGAAUCUCAAAAAGCCUGUCUCAGUUCGGAUUGGGGUCUGCAACUCGACCCCAUGAAGUCGGAGUUGCUAGUAAUCGCAGAUCAGCAUUGCUGCGGUGAAUACGUUCCCGGGCCUU
rnacentral:rRNA from 1 species